CCUAGUUUCUGCAGGAGCUGCUCUGGUUGUGGCUCUCUCUCUCCACAUCCACAGGCCGGGAGGAGGAGGAGCACUGGGGCUGGCUCAUCGCACAGCGCCGAGUUACACAACCAGCACCGUCCUGCAUAACUCUGUCAGUCCCUGGGGAACACCGGCGUUAUCUGGGAUAGAAGACCUGACAUAGGAGCCCCGGGGCCCCUAAUUGCUCCCAGUGCAGGCAGAAUAGGAGGGUUCCAUUCUUAGAACACUGAAUACUCAGAGCAAAGGAGCUCUGGGAUUCCCUCCCCUGUGCAUUCAGCGGAGGAGCUCUGGCAUUUCUUCACCUGUACAUUCAGAAUAGGAGCUCUGGGAUUUCCUCACCUGUGCAUAUAUAGGAGCUCUGUGAUUUCUUCGCCUGCACAUUCAGCAUAGGAGCUCUGGGAUUUUCACACCUGUGCAUUCAGCAUAGGAGCUCUGGGAUUUCCACACCUGUACAGUCGGCUUGGGAAUCUGGGGCUUACUCAUUGGCUCCCUGUGUGUUAGGGUGAAGAAAGUUAAAGCUCCCACAUUUGCUCCCAGAAUAGGAGCACUGUGAUCUCAUUUACUGGCUUACAGUGUAGGAGCUCUGGGAUUUCCCCACUUGGUCUCUGUACAUUCAGCCUAGGAGAUCUGGGGUCCCCUCUCUGACUUCUUGUGGUUUCCAAUAGGACAUCAAGGUUUCCCUGCUUUGUGCCCCUGAAGUUCUGGAUUACUGAGAUUCUUUUUAAAUCCUGGAUAUAUUUUUUGGAUAAGGAUCCAUGAUGACAUGUUAAGAUUUGUUUUUUUGGAUUCCAGUCUCUUGGGUUUAAUUAUUCUACUGAAGCCUGGAUCUGUCUUACCCUGGGGUCCUGGCAUGGGACAACUACCU